CCUACGGGUGGCAGCAGUGAGGAAUAUUGGUCAAUGGCCGAGAGGCUGAACCAGCCAAGUCGCGUGAGGGAAGACGGCCCUACGGGUUGUAAACCUCUUUUGUCGGGGAGCAAAGCGAGUCACGUGUGGCUCAUUUAGAGUACCCGAAGAAAAAGCAUCGGCUAACUACGUGCCAGCAGCCGCGGUAAUACGGAGGAUGCGAGCGUUAUCCGGAUUUUUUGGGGUUUAAGGGUGCGCAGGCGGAGGUGCAAGUCAGCGGUAAAAUUGCGGGGCUCAACCCCGUACUGCCGUUGAAACUGCAGCCCUUGAGUGGGCGAGAAGUAUGCGGAAUGCGUGGUGUAGCGGUGAAAUGCAUAGAUAUCACGCAGAACUCCGAUUGCGAAGGCAGCAUACCGGCGCGCAACUGACGCUCAUGCACGAAAGCGUGGGUAUCGAACAGGAUUAGAUACCCGUGUAGUC
rnacentral:rRNA from 1 species